GUUAUUUGAUUUUAUAAUAAUAAAUAAUUGCUUUUUACGAGUUGCUACGUGAAUAAAGCCUCAAAUAUUGAGAAUAUUCUAGAUUACGAACGAACUAUACCUCAAAUUUUCAAGAUCUCUCGAAUCAAUAACCCAAACCCAUUCUUCUCCAAUGCAAACUAUCAAACCUCUGCUUCCAAAAGCUUUAAAUGUCGUAAGCCAUUGCCUAAAAAUCCUGAAACACUCCUCCUCCUCUAAGAAAGGACUUCGUUUGAUGUUUAUGAAGUAUUUUGAGGUGGGCAUACAGAAAGGGAAUAGAGGAAGAGGGUUGGUUUUCACCCAUUACAUGAGUGUUAAAAUGGGAAAGGAAAUUGAUCAUUCUGAUAGUGACGAAUAUAGUAAGAGCCUUGUGCCACAACCUGAACACCCGAAAUGCCGGAGCGACCAGAGGUGGAAGCAGUUUGGAGGGUCGUAGAGGAAAACUUCCUUGGCAAGAAGAUGAAGAGGUCCGUCGUAGUUGACGACUCCAAGGUCAUCAACGACAUUGCCUCAGACUUCGAUGUUGCACUUUUGGGAAAUACUAUCGUUGUCACUCAACGCAAGAGCAAGAACCUAUGGCUCCAACUUACCUUCUUUUCCUUCCAUUCAAUUAGGUAGUCUUUUUAUUUUCUCAAAUCAAAAGCCCUAAUUAAACAAUGGUGAGUUAUUCUAAUAGCGUCUUUGUUGUUCAAGAUUUUUUAUUUCUUCUUUGAAAGUUUGACAAUUGAGCUUUAUGGUUAUUUGAUUUCAGAAAUGGCAUGUGAUAUUCCUUAGGUGACUAAGUCAUGAAUGUGUUUGUUCACAUCAUAUGGAGUUAUGUUUUUAGUAACGCAACCCCCUUUCAAAGUUAAGGGGAUGUGGGCCAACAUAAUUUUGCGUUACAAAAUAGUUAAAAGCUUAGUUCAAGUCUGAUAUAUGCGAGUAAAUCAAGUUUAAAGUUUUAAUUUUCUUAAUGGUGUAGGAUCUUAUUGUCAAGUCACUUUCAUAGUUGGACACAUAGGCUUUGCUUGAUCUUUUGCCUAAAAUCUCAUUGUGGGCGAAGAGCGCUGACUAUGAUAGAGUAAGUAUCAUUGUUAAAUCUUAUUACAAUAAUUUUCAUUUGUAUUUACCUUGAAUUUCAAUAAACAAUCAUCUACAUUCAAACUUCUAAGAUAAUAAGAUGAGUAAUAAAGUAAUUAUGUGUCUUGCUUUUGAUUUUUUUGCUUGAGUUCAUUUAAUUUACAGGCUCUGCCUUGGUAUUAUAAGAACAUAACCAAUAUUGAAGAGUACAAUGAGAAGGACUUGAUUGAAUUGAUUGAGUUUAACACUAUUAGUAUUAGUAUAGGAGAUCUUCCUCCUUUACUAUACGGUAAGUGUACUAACAAUAUGUGUUUUAUGUUAUCAAAGGUCUCUAUUAAUUUUAUUGCUUCAGGUUUGAAGUGUUGAAAGUAAAAUACACAUUUUGACACAAGCAUUACACUAUUUUCAUUACAUGUUAAGAAUUUUUGCUAAGAAAAUCUCCAUUUUUCUUUUAGCUGUAUUCCAUCUCCAUCUAUCUUUCUACACAAGAUGACAAAAAUGUGUCUUUCAGUUAUCUAAUUCAUAACAGUCAGUGGCUUAUUUCAGUAGAAGAGUAUGUUAGGAUCUCCUAAUUUAGUUGAUGAUUCAUUGAAAUAGUUUGUGUUUUUUCUAAUUUGUAUUAUCUUUAUUCAGCAAAAUUUCACCAAACAUAACCCACUUAUAAAUAAUAACAUUUCUUAACUGUUAUUUGAAUUUUGACAUUGAUCUGCACAAAUGAAGCGUACAAGAGUGACUUCUUACUGAGUAUUUUUAUUAGUUGUCACUCUACAAUGUAAGAGGCCAACUUGUGUUGGUUUUAUGAAACUCCAUACACUUUUAUAGUUCUUUUUUCUUUUUUUGAUAAUAGACACCUUUAUAAUUCUUAAGAUUGAACAAAAAGUUAACUUUUAUAGUGUGGUUGGGAGUUGGGAUUGUUUAUUUUAGUGUGCUUUGCAUAAAAUUGGGGUAUGUUAAUGCUAUUAUAUAGACUAAGUAAGGCUCAUAAUAUUUUGGACUGCUCGUAAAUUCAUUAACCAAGUUAAUAUGUAUGAUCAGAAUAUACAUUUCUACAAAUUAACCAUAUCAUGCUCACUUAUUUAGAUAUAUAUUAUAUCUUUAGUACACUUAAUCCACUCAUUAGUAAUCAUUGUUGGUACACUCCUUUAGUAAAUGUCAUAUAUGUAUUAGCUAUAAGGAGGUGUAAUAGCACGUGGUGGACCUCAACUAUGGACAAGAAAAACUCAGAGUUUGAUAUCGUUUGUGAAUGUAAUUGGGCUCAGUGUUCAUGGUUAUGUAUGGGACUAUUAAUGGAUGUAAAAAAGGCUGGUGGGACGUGUCUUGUGCUCACCAUCCUAAGUUAAAGGGCUAAUACGAGAGAAGUCCUACGACACUAUCGUUCCUAAAUUGAUGAUUAGUAUUCUACAAAUUCAUAUACUUGUGUGGUUUUGAGAUGAUAUUAGAUUUGAGUCUUUCCUAUAAAUUCUCCUCUUCAAAGUUCUAAUAUUGAAGACUCUAAAAAUGUCACUCUGUUAUCAAAGGUGGUAAUAUAUCUCUAAGAUCUACAUAUUUAUAUUGACAAUUCUUUCAUUGGACUCUUCGUUUUAGUAAAGUAAUCUAAAUAAAAAAA